ensembl:lncRNA
CGUCUACACCAGGGGUCACCAACCUUUUUGAACCUGAGAGCUACUUCAUGGGUACUGAUUCAUACGAAGGGGCACCCAGUUUGAUACCCUUCUGAAAUAACAAAUUUGCUCAGUUUGCCUUCAGUUAUAUAUCAUUAUUAAUGUUUAAUGACAAUCAUCUAUGUGAAGACAUUGAUCAGGUUAAGGAUUGCUCACAAUAAUUAUCAACAAUUACUUAAAAUUGAGGUAAGAAAGAGGGCGAGAGAGAUAGAGAGAGAGGGACACUUCCCUUUUAGUCCUUGACACGUACCAGCGCGCGGUCAACAGGCCCUGGUCCUAAUGGUGUGUUCCUGAGCAAAAUGGCGCAGCCAUUUUGUUGAGAGCGUCAUCACUGCUCUUGGCUUACUCUCAGAUUUUCGAAAGAUGAAGACAAAAAGGGGGCGUGCCUUCGAGCAAUGCCACAAGAAAGCUGGGAGAUCUUCGACUUUCGCCUCCGAAGUCUGGCGUCCGAGGUAUCAGGAACACACCAUAAUACCCGGACGCCCGCGCACGCACACACACACACACACACACACACACACACGUCGGUGCCAUCUGCUGUCACCGUGCUGCUUGAGAGUCGGCUGGUGUUCCGUCGGCCCUCAGCGGUGGGCAUGGUUACACGGUCACUACAUGGGAAAGUUACACAGGAGCCCCCCGGGGUAAACACAUCAGGUGGAAGCCCAAGAGGGGCGCCCUGGUAGGAGGGGGGGCCUCCUGAUUGGUGGUGGGGGGGGCGUCCUGGUAGGAGGUCUGAGUCCGUGAGGCUCGUCCGGCCCCAUCUAGCCUCCCUCAGCCCAGACAGCGUUGGUCCUCCUCCGCCGCGGUCGCCGUGGGAUGGAUCACAACGACCGACACCCGGCGGCGGCCACGCACUACUCCUCCCCCUUCCUCCUCCGUCCGCCGGCCACGCCCCCCUCCCCAGCAUUCCGCGGGCGCUCGCAGGGAGACAGACGUACGCCCCGCAUUCCAGACACCAUUGCUGAUCUGCAGAGAGAGAGAGAGAGAGGGGGGGGGAUAUUAGUUUAGGCAUCCGAAGAACUCCCGAUAAGGCGCUUCAUGAUCAGACUCCUGCCCCAUGACCACAGGGCAGCGUGGAUCUUUCGGGGGGGGGGGGGCAAAGAGAGGUAUGCGUGUGUGUACCGGGGGCUCAGCAGCAGAUGAGCGGCUUAUCGCCCUGUGUGCUGUUCCAGCUACGCGUCCUGCAGGGCAUUCAUGAGAACUUGGAACGGGACGGGCGUUCAGGGAUUGGCAGCUUCAGUCAUUUCAUCACAUUUUGCAGGGCGGCCAAUGGACCGAUCAGAUAAGAGGUCCGUGGAUAGAUUACAAGCCCAGUAUUGGCCGUCGGUUCCAAUACAUUGAUAUUCAACUCUGCGCUAAUCUAUUUAAGCACUGUGGUCGCCUCCUCUUGCGGUUAGUGGCUUGACGUGGCGCUCCCGAAAUGUGUUGGGCACUAGUUAAAUUACACACACGUGGUGAAUUCUUUGGGUUCCAGGGUAGCACCGCCUCCCUCUCAUCCCUGUAUUUUUCCGUGGAGGGAUAGUUUGCGUCUCUUUUCCCCGCGCUGCCGGUAUGGAAUGCAUCUGAUCAUUUGGCUGUAGGAGACGCAAUAUUGAACUCUGGCUUGCGUGUUUUUCACCAUACAGCAAUAAUGCAAUUUUGGCACGCUAGAUGAAGGGUGUGUGUGUGUGUGUGUAUUUUGCAGCGUGUGUUUCUGGCCUAAUGAAAAACCAAACUGACGUUUUACCAUAGUCAUCGCUUGAGGUGUGGUUGGCUAGCCUGAUGCGCUCUCAUUAGCACGUCAGCCAAAGCAGGUCAAUCCUACCGUACCUAUUCAGCCUGAAGCAGCGACAUUGUGUUGUGGCGCUAGCUUACAAGGCCUCCAGCUCAGUGGUGAACUCCCCACUAGAAUGCCG